UAUUUGUGGUGGUGUGGCGGAGGGGUAGGAACAUGGAGAGAAAAAGAUAUGCAGGUUUUCUGUAACAUUAUAAGACGGCGCCACCUCCCCCACCCCCACGUAACCUAACGGUCACAGUGCGCGAUUUAUUUAAAAAAUUUUCGGAACAGCGGCUACAGCAGCACAGAGCACAGCAGCAGUCCAGCAGUGCGCUUUGGAUACUGGAAGAGAUUAGAGGGAAGGAAUAAGAACAGACCAGAGUAGGGUGGAGGAAAAUAAAGAGCUGCCGUGAGGUGCAACAGAUUAACAAGUAGUGCCACUGACCAAGAAAUUGACGCUACAGUGAAAAGAUGGCUACACCUGGCCCCUGAUCGAGAUGGUGGGAGGAGAGUCCGGAUGCAGAGGAAGACCAAUGAACAGGAAAGGGGAAAUUAAUGAUGGUUAAUGAUUAAUGAUGAUUUGUACACUCGUUCCUGUAGUUUUGGCCAUCUAGUUCUUAGCCCAUGAAGUUUUUAUUUGUUCUAUUCAUUACUAUUGUUGUUCCUGACACUU